UACGAAGGGGGCGAGCGUUGUUCGGAAUUACUGGGCGUAAAGGGCGCGUAGGCGGCGACCCAAGUCAGAUGUGAAAGUCCUGGGCUUAACCUGGGGACUGCAUUUGAUACUGGGUUGCUUGAAUUCGGGAGAGGGAUGUGGAAUUCCAGGUGUAGCGGUGAAAUGCGUAGAUAUCUGGAGGAACACCGGUGGCGAAGGCGGCAUCCUGGACCGGUAUUGACGCUGAGGCGCGAAAGCUAGGGGAGCAAACGGGG
rnacentral:rRNA from 1 species